rnacentral:rRNA from 1 species
ACGGAAGGCAGCAGUGAGGAAUAUUGGUCAAUGGGCGGAAGCCUGAACCAGCCAAGUCGCGUGAAGGAUGAAGGUAUUAUGUAUUGUAAACUUCUUUAGACGCAGAGAAAUAAGGGGCUCGUGAGCCCUGAUGCUAGUAUGCGUAGAAUAAGGAUCGGCUAACUCCGUGCCAGCAGCCGCGGUAAUACGGAGGAUCCGAGCGUUAUCCGGAUUUAUUGGGUUUAAAGGGUGCGCAGGCGGUCUUUUAAGUCAGUGGUUAAAUCGUGAGGCUCAACCUCAUCACGCCAUUGAUACUGGAGGACUUGAUUGCGGUUGAGGUUGGCGGAAUUCGCCGUGUAGCGGUGAAAUGCAUAGAUAUGGCGAAGAACUCCGAUUGCGUAGGCAGCUGACCAAGCCGUAAAUGACGCUCAUGCACGAAAGUGCGGGGAUCGAGCAGGAUUAGAUACCCUGGUA